rnacentral:rRNA from 1 species
GGCGGCAGGCCUAACACAUGCAAGUCGAGCGGUAGAGAGAAGCUUGCUUCUCUUGAGAGCGGCGGACGGGUGAGUAAUGCCUAGGAAUCUGCCUGGUAGUGGGGGAUAACGCUCGGAAACGGACGCUAAUACCGCAUACGUCCUACGGGAGAAAGCAGGGGACCUUCGGGCCUUGCGCUAUCAGAUGAGCCUAGGUCGGAUUAGCUAGUUGGUGAGGUAAUGGCUCACCAAGGCGACGAUCCGUAACUGGUCUGAGAGGAUGAUCAGUCACACUGGAACUGAGACACGGUCCAGACUCCUACGGGAGGCAGCAGUGGGGAAUAUUGGACAAUGGGCGAAAGCCUGAUCCAGCCAUGCCGCGUGUGUGAAGAAGGUCUUCGGAUUGUAAAGCACUUUAAGUUGGGAGGAAGGGCAGUAAAUUAAUACUUUGCUGUUUUGACGUUACCGACAGAAUAAGCACCGGCUAACUCUGUGCCAGCAGCCGCGGUAAUACAGAGGGUGCAAGCGUUAAUCGGAAUUACUGGGCGUAAAGCGCGCGUAGGUGGUUCGUUAAGUUGGAUGUGAAAUCCCCGGGCUCAACCUGG